AUCCUGCCAGUAGUCAUAUGCUUGUCUCAAAGAUUAAGCCAUGCAAGUCUAAGUACGAGCUCUCGUACAGUGAAACUGCGAAUGGCUCAUUAAAUCAGUUAUGGUUCAUUUGAUCGUACAGUUUACUUGGAUAACUGUGGUAAUUCUAGAGCUAAUACAUGCGAGAAGCGCCGACCUCGCGGGAGGCGUGCAUUUAUCAGACCAAAAACCGGCCGCGUCUUCGGGCGCGUUCGCCUUGGUGACUCUGGAUAACUUUGCGGAUCGCACGGUCUAGCACCGGCGACGGAUCAUUCAAGUGUCUGCCCUAUCAACUUUCGUCGGUACGGUAUUUGCCUACCGAGGUUCUUACGGGUGACGGGGAAUCAGGGUUCGAUUCCGGAGAGGGAGCCUGAGAAACGGCUACCACAUCCAAGGAAGGCAGCAGGCGCGCAAAUUACCCAUUCCCGACGCGUGGUGGUAGUGACGAAAAAUAACAAUGCAGGACUCGUUCGAGGCCCUGUAAUUGGAAUGAGUACACUUUAAAAGCUUUAACGAGUAUCCAUUGGAGGGCAAGUCUGGUGCCAGCAGCCGCGGUAAUUCCAGCUCCAAAAGUAUAUAUUUAAGUUGUGCGGUUAAAAAGCUCGUAGUUGGAUUUUGGGCGCAGGCGGCCGGUCCGUCGCAAGGCGGAAUU
rnacentral:ncRNA from 1 species